rnacentral:snoRNA from 1 species
UAGAGCGUUGUUGAGUUUUUUUUAUUCUUGUGGAUAAGUUUGCUUGAACUUAUGAACAUAUAUGGGGCUGAGUUGCA